GGCGGACGGGUGAGUAACGCGUGGGUAACCUGCCUCGUUCAGGGGGAUAACAGUUAGAAAUGACUGCUAAUACCGCAUAUGCACACAGUACCGCAUGGUACAGGGUGGAAAGACCAGUCGGUACGAGAUGGACCCGCGUUGGAUUAGCUAGUUGGCAGGGUAACGGCCUACCAAGGCGACGAUCCAUAGCCGGCCUGAGAGGGUGAACGGCCACAUUGGGACUGAGACACGGCCCAAACUCCUACGGGAGGCAGCAGUGAGGAAUAUUGGUCAAUGGUCUGACGACUGAACCAGCCAUGCCGCGUGAAGGAUACGGCCCUAUGGGUCUUACACUUCUUUUGCAAGGGAGCAAUAAGGUCUACGUGUAGAUCGAUGAGAGUACCUUGCGAAUAAGCAUCGGCUAACUCCGUGCCAGCCUCCGCGGUAAUACUGGGGAUGCAAGCGUUAUCCGGAUUUAUUGGGUUUAACGGGUGCGUAGGCGGUCAGGUAAGUCAGCGGUGAAAUUUACGGGCUCAACCUCUACUGUGCCGUUGAUACUGUCUGACUGGAAUGCGGAUGCCGAGGGAGGAAUGUGUGGUGUAGCGGUGAAACGCAUAGAUAUCACACAGAACACCGAUUGCGAAGGCAUCUCACGAAUCCGCGAUUGACGUUGAUGCACGAAAGCGUGGGGAUCAAACAGGAUUAGAUACCCUGGUAGUCCACGCUGUAAACGAUGAUGACUAACCGUCGGCGAUACACAGUCGGUGGCCAAGCGAAAGCGAUAAGUCAUCCACCUGGGGAGUACGACCGCAAGGUUGAAACUCAAAGGAAUUGACGGGGGCCCGCACAAGCGGAGGAACAUGUGGUUUAAUUCGAUGAUACGCGAGGAACCUUACCCGGGCUCGAACGGCAGAUGAAUUGAGUAGAGAUAUUCAAGUCUUCGGACAUCUGUCGAGGUGCUGCAUGGUUGUCGUCAGCUCGUGCUGUGAAGUGUCGGCUUAAGUGCCAUAACGAGCGCAACCCUUGCCGUUAGUUGCCAUCAGGUUAUGCUGGGGACUCUAGCGGGACUGCCACCGCAAGGUGUGAGGAAGGGGGGGAUGACGUCAAAUCAGCACGGCCCUUACGUCCGGGGCGACACACGUGUUACAAUGGUGGGUACAGAGGGAAGCUACCUGGCGACAGGAUGCAGAUCUCGAAAACCCAUCCCAGUUCGGAUUGGAGUCUGCAACCCGACUCCAUGAAGUUGGAUUCGCUAGUAAUCGCGAAUCAGCCAUGGCGCGGUGAAUACGUUCCCG
rnacentral:rRNA from 1 species